rnacentral:rRNA from 1 species
UAAGGUUAAGUUAAUAAGGGCGCACGGUGGAUGCCUUGGCACUAGAAGCCGAUGAAGGACGUGACUAACGACGAAAUGCUUUGGGGAGCUGUAAGUGAGCAAUGAUCCAGAGAUGUCCGAAUGGGGGAACCCGGCAGGUAAUGCCUGUCACUCAUUACUGUUAAGGUAAUGUAGAGGAAGACGCAGUGAACUGAAACAUCUAAGUAGCUGCAGGAAGAGAAAGCAAAAGCGAUUGCCUUAGUAGCGGCGAGCGAAACGGCAAGAGGGCAAACCGAAGAGUUUACUCUUCGGGGUUGUAGGACUGCAACGUGGACUUAAAGAUUAUAGAAGAACUACCUGGGAAGGUAGGCCAAAGAGAGUAAUAGCCUCGUAUUCGAAAUAGUCUUUAUACCUAGCAGUAUCCUGAGUACGGCGAGACACGAGAAAUCUCGUCGGAAUCUGGGAGGACCAUCUCCCAACCCUAAAUACUCUCUAGUGACCGAUAGUGAACCAGUACCGUGAGGGAAAGGUGAAAAGCACCCCGGGAGGGGAGUGAAAUAGAACCUGAAACCGUGUGCCUACAACAAGUUCGAGCCCGUUAAUGGGUGAGAGCGUGCCUUUUGUAGAAUGAACCGGCGAGUUACGAUAUGAUGCGAGGUUAAGUUGAAGAGACGGAGCCGUAGGGAAACCGAGUCUUAAUAGGGCGCAUUAGUAUCAUGUCGUAGACCCGAAACCAUGUGACCUACCCAUGAGCAGGUUGAAGGUGAGGUAAAACUCACUGGAGGACCGAACCAGGGCACGUUGAAAAGUGCUUGGAUGACUUGUGGGUAGCGGAGAAAUUCCAAACGAACUUGGAGAUAGCUGGUUCUCUCCGAAAUAGCUUUAGGGCUAGCGUCGAUGUUAAGUCUCUUGGAGGUAGAGCACUGUUUGGGUGAGGGGUCCAUCCCGGAUUACCAAUCUCAGAUAAACUCCGAAUGCCAACGAGAUAUAAUCGGCAGUCAGACUGCGAGUGCUAAGAUCCGUAGUCGAAAGGGAAACAGCCCAGACCACCAGCUAAGGUCCCAAAAUAUAUGUUAAGUGGAAAAGGAUGUGGGGUUGCACAGACAACUAGGAUGUUAGCUUAGAAGCAGCUAUUCAUUCAAAGAGUGCGUAAUAGCUCACUAGUCGAGUGACCCUGCGCCGAAAAUGUACCGGGGCUAAAACAUAUUACCGAAGCUGUGGAUACCUUUAUAGGUAUGGUAGGAGAGCGUUCUAUGUGCGAAGAAGGUGUACCGUGAGGAGUGCUGGAGCGCAUAGAAGUGAGAAUGCCGGUAUGAGUAGCGAAAGACAGGUGAGAAUCCUGUCCACCGUAAGACUAAGGUUUCCAGGGGAAGGCUCGUCCGCCCUGGGUUAGUCGGGACCUAAGGAGAGACCGAAAGGUGUAUCCGAUGGACAACAGGUUGAUAUUCCUGUACUAGAGUAUAUAGUGAUGGAGGGACGCAGUAGGCUAACUAAACCAGACGAUUGGAAGUGUCUGGCCAAGCAGUGAGGUGUGAUAUGAGUCAAAUGCUUAUAUCUAUAACAUUGAGCUGUGAUGGGGAGCGAAGUUUAGUAGCGAAGUUAGUGAUGUCACACUGCCGAGAAAAGCUUCUAGCGUUAAUUAUACUCUACCCGUACCGCAAACCGACACAGGUAGUCGAGGCGAGUAGCCUCAGGUGAGCGAGAGAACUCUCGUUAAGGAACUCGGCAAAAUGGCCCCGUAACUUCGGGAGAAGGGGCGCUGACUUAUGGUCAGCCGCAGUGAAUAGGCCCAAGCAACUGUUUAUCAAAAACACAGCUCUCUGCUAAAUCGUAAGAUGAUGUAUAGGGGGUGACGCCUGCCCGGUGCUGGAAGGUUAAGAGGAGCCGUCAAUCCCUUCGGG